UGGUAUAUAAGGAGGAGCAUUUGUAACAGUUAACGUUUUUAGUUGUAGCAGCGGUACACUCAGCUACGGGUCAUAGAGCAGACGAGCUCCAGCUAGCUUCGUCGAGGGAUCGUACUACACACACUCUAAGACCGGUAUCAAAGGUUGCAGGUAUAUGUCGUUGAAUUGUACUGUUUUGUACGGGUAACGGUAAUUAACACGGGUAAGAUCAUAUGUUUACAGGUGUCAUACACAACAGCGACGGCAGCAGCAGCGUCAGCAUCAGAUGACAGACUCACACCGGAGAGGAUGGUGGAGCUGAUAUUAUGGAGCUUUGAGUGGACCCGCACUGAUAGAGGCUAGAGACAGUCCAGCAGCAACAGCAAACUUCAAAGGUGUCAUACACAACAGCGACGGCAGCAGCAGCGUCGGUGUCAGAUGACAGACUCGCACCCGAGAGGAUGGCGGAGCUGAUAUUAUGGAGCUACUGGACUCCCGAUCUAGUGGUGAUCGAGUCAUCCCAGAUUGAUUGAGUCAUCCCAGUCAUCCAGGUCUCUCUCCACGACAGAAUCACUUGACGACUCCACGAGCAG
rnacentral:lncRNA from 1 species